rnacentral:misc_RNA from 1 species
UACUAGUGUUGGUUUGCUACUUGAUCCUAAGGCCAAGCCCCCUCGCGUGACGACCACGCUGGCUACCGGGCAAAAUGCGCAUCACCUCUUGCUUGUCUAGAUCAGCCCGGACGUUGGCAUGUGUAGCGUAUUUUGUCGGGUUUCGAGAUCAAGAAUCGAUGUCCCUUUGUUGGUUGGUUUUCCGAGAAUCCUUGACCCUUGAUUUGUUACUUUCGCAUCGUUAGGUGCAUGUUUUCCGAGAAUCCUUGACCCUUGAUUUGUUACUUUCGCAUCGUUUGGUGCAUGUUUUCCGAGAAUCCUUGACCCUUGAUUUGUUACUUUCGCAUCGUUCGGUGCAUUCUGGGGGAUGUUUUGGCUUUUGGUGGCUUACUUGGCCUUUUGGCUGGGUUUGUUGCUAUUGGUCGGGCGGCUUUCGGGAAUGUCGACCGUGGAGGUGCAUGAGUGGUGUUUGGUUUGUUACGUGUGGAUGGCUGUUUGCUUGCGCAACAACGUUCACGCUGCAUACCUCUUCAGUUUUGCGGCAAGGCUUGGUUUGGCUUGUGCAUAUUGUGGGUUUCCUGUGUUGCAUACCUAGUUGAAGGAAAAGUGUGGGUUUUACGAUUUUCAUUUUCGUCUUGCGUCGUUCUUUCGGCAUGGGAUGAGCAAUGAAGCGAUCUUUAUGAUCCAUCGUGCUGUUGUGUUUGCAACAAUGAUGUGGCCUAUGAAGCAUCGUUUGGUCUCUUGUAUACGGAAGCUCAUUUGGGCUUGGUCUUUAUAAGAUCUUCGUUAUGCCCUUGUUAAGCGUUCUCGCUUCUCCUAAACGAUUG